AACGAACGCUGGCGGCGCGCCUAAUACAUGCAAGUCGAGCGAGAAGACGUAGCAAUACGUUUGUAAAGCGGCGAACGGGUGAGGAAUACAUGGGUAACCUACCCUCGAGUGGGGAAUAACUAGCCGAAAGGUUAGCUAAUACCGCGUACGCUCCUUGGACUUCGGUUCAGGGAGGAAAGCGAUACCGUGGGUAUCGCGCUCUUGGAUGGGCUCAUGUCCUAUCAGCUUGUUGGUGAGGAACGGCUCACCAAGGCUUCGACGGGUAGCUGGUCUGAGAGGACGAUCAGCCACACUGGCACUGCGACACGGGCCAGACUCCUACGGGAGCAGCAGUAAGGAAUAUUGCGCAAUGGGCGAAAGCCUGACGCAGCGACGCCGCGUGGGGGAUGAAGGUCUUCGGAUUGUAAACCCCUUUCGGGAGGGAAGAUGGAACGAGCAAUCGUUCGGACGGUACCUCCAGAAGCAGCCACGGCUAACUUCGUGCCAGCCGCCGCAGUAAG
rnacentral:rRNA from 1 species